rnacentral:lncRNA from 1 species
AUUUCCUGUUGUAAUAAAAAUGACUGAAGAGCCUGGGCAGAUUCCACCAAAAACUCCAUAAUAAAUGUAAAGGAAACUUUUAUUGUAAACAAAAUUUUUAGAGAAAAAACUACAAUAAAGUAAUGUUAACUUCAAACCAAAAUAGCCUCUAUUGUUAUUUUGCAAAUGGCAGCUUGUAAUAUAAAACCAAAAAUUAACAAACGACACCUUUUUAAGGUCAAACACUUCACUACGGACAACCAGUCACUGACACAACCAACAAACACUAUAGAGGCUACCUCUGCCUCCUUUCCAUCGUCUUAUGUAUUACUGCCUCAUUUACAUACAGAAAUAAACUUAAUUAUAAAACAUAGUAAAGACGUUUCUUCUUUUACAUUAUCAUCA